AGGAAAUGACGUUUCCUACAAAUUCCCAGGGGACCGUGCGGACUAGCGGCCCAAAAUACAUUCCUCAGUCCGAAAAGUCAGGUAUUGCUCCACAAAAACGGGGAAUUGUUUACAUUGGGCGCAGCUCCAUACAUCCGGGAUGCUUUGCUGCUCGACGUUUAUACCGCAUCCACGGAGGGUUUCGCGAUGCCUACUGGGAGGUGUAGUUCCUAUCUCCGAUUGUAUCCCACGGGCCCUGGCGGCGGGCCAGCCUGAAGAUUCUGGAAAGAAAGUACAGCCGAUAAUGUGUUCAGGGCUUCGUUAGAGCGUAACUGUGUCUAAAUCUAAACCAAACCUGAGCUCAUGGCAAAGUAAAGUCUGUAUGCCGGUUGUGCAGCGUCUUUCAGAAAGUUACCCAAGAUCACAUACCUGCUGAGGUUUGUACGAGAGAGUUGGCCUGCUGUGUUCAUCCAGCUCGGCACCUUGUUGUCUCACUUACCUGCUGCAGUGUUCCAGUGAAAGGCCAAAUCAGUUAUUUCUUAACGUAAGCCUAAGAAACAACAUGCUCAUUGCUUGCUUGGGCACUAUCUUCUGCACUCACUAUGAAGUUAAAAAUUUCUGGCCAUAAACUCUGUUUCAGAUUUUUCUCUUUGUUGAUGAAAGGUGAUCGUAAAUGUUAGACCUGAAACAUCAAUUAUGUUUCUCUGUACAGUUGGUGCUUGACCUAUUUCAGUUUUAAUUUCUGAUUUUUUAUUAAGUUGCUCUUAUCUCUGGGGAGGUACAAAUUGAGAGAAAAGGCCACAAAAUUCUGACAAGACCGUAGAGUUCAAAUGGUCCUCUCAUCCAAACAGUGGUUCUUCUUCGGAAACUAGACGAAUCAUGAAAGCUUCAAACAUGUGUUCAUCAUGAGAUUGUUAUCAUUGAUUGUAAGAGAUUCAAAAACCAAUAAAAAAAACUUGCAACUGAAA